rnacentral:tRNA from 1 species
UGCGGAUAUAGAUUAGUGGUAAAUUUUUCGCCUUCCAAGCGAACGACGUGAGUUCGAGUCUCACUAUCCG